GAUGAACGCUGGCUACAGGCUUAACACAUGCAAGUCGAGGGGAAACGACGGGGAAGCUUGCUUCCCCGGGCGUCGACCGGCGCACGGGUGAGUAACGCGUAUCCAACCUGCCUCUGACUGAGGGAUAACCCGUCGAAAGUCGGCCUAAUACCUCAUGGUAUCGUCUGCGGGCAUCCAACGACGAUUAAAGAUUUCAUCGGUCAGGGAUGGGGAUGCGUCUGAUUAGCUUGUUGGCGGGGUAACGGCCCACCAAGGCGACGAUCAGUAGGGGUUCUGAGAGGAAGGUCCCCCACAUUGGAACUGAGACACGGUCCAAACUCCUACGGGAGGCAGCAGUGAGGAAUAUUGGUCAAUGGGCGAGAGCCUGAACCAGCCAAGUAGCGUGCAGGAAGACGGCCCUAUGGGUUGUAAACUGCUUUUAUGCGGGGAUAAAGUGAGGGACGUGUCCUUCAUUGCAGGUACCGCAUGAAUAAGGACCGGCUAAUUCCGUGCCAGCAGCCGCGGUAAUACGGAAGGUCCGGGCGUUAUCCGGAUUUAUUGGGUUUAAAGGGAGCGUAGGCCGUGGAUUAAGCGUGUUGUGAAAUGCAGGUGCUCAACGUCUGCACUGCAGCGCGAACUGGUCCACUUGAGUGUGCGCAACGCAGGCGGAAUUCGUCGUGUAGCGGUGAAAUGCUUAGAUAUGACGAAGAACUCCGAUUGCGAAGGCAGCUUGCGGGAGCACAACUGACGCUGAAGCUCGAAAGUGCGGGUAUCGAACAGG
rnacentral:rRNA from 1 species